AUUAGAUUAAAAACCAAUGCCCUUCGGGGCUCACUGGUGAUUCAUGAUAACUCCUCGAAUCGCAUGGCCUUGCGCCGGCGAUGGUUCAUUCAAAUUUCUGCCCUAUCAACUUUCGAUUGUAGGAUAGAGGCCUACAAUGGUUUCAACGGGUAACGGAGAAUUAGGGUUCGGUUCCGGAGAGGGAGCCUGAGAAACGGCUACCACAUCCAAGGAAGGCAGCAGGCGCGCAAAUUACCCAAUCCCGACACGGGAAGGUAGUGACAAUAAAUACUGAUACAGGGCUCUUUUGGGUCUUGUAAUUGGAAUGAGUACAAUUUAAAUCCCUUAACGAGGAACAAUUGGAGGGCAAGUCUGGUGCCAGCAGCCGCGGUAAUUCCAGCUCCAAUAGCGUAUAUUAAAGUUGUUGCAGUUAAAAAGCUCGUAGUUGAACCUUGGGUCUGGCUGGCCGGUCCGCCUCACCGCGUGCACUGGUCCGGCCGGACCUUUCCUCUUGGGGAUCCACAUGCCCUUUACUGGG
rnacentral:rRNA from 1 species